rnacentral:lncRNA from 1 species
CCCCUGGGGGUCCCCGCAGUCUCCUGGGGGUCCCCGCAGUCCCCUGGGUGCUGUUGAGGUGUCCCCGUGGUCCCCAGGGUGCUGCUGAGGUCUCUCUGUGGUCUUCAGGGUGCCAGGGAGGUGUCCCCAAUGUCCCUUGGGUGCUGGGGACAUGUCCCCAAGGUCCCCUGGCUGUGCCCACAGAUCCCUGGGUGCUGUUGAGGUGUCCCCAAGGUCCCCAGGGUGCCCGAACGGUUUCCUCAAGGUCCCCUGGGUGCUGGGGACAUGUCCCCAAGGUCCCCUGGGUGUCCCCACAGAUCCCUGGGUGCUGGGGACGUGUCCCCAAGGUCCCCAGGGUGCCAUGGAGGUGUCCCCAAGGUCCCCUGGGUGCUGUUGAGGUGUCCCCAAGGUCCCCAGGGUGCCAGGAGGGUGUCCCCAAGGUUCCUUGGGUGCUGGGGACAUGUCCCCAAGGUCUCCUGGGUGUCUCUGUAGUCUCCUGGGUGCUGCUGAGGUGUCCCCAAGGUGCCAGAGAGGUGUCCCCAGGGUGCUGUUGAGGUGUCCCUGUGGUCCCCAGGGUGCUGGGGACGUGUCCCCAAGGUCCCCUGGGUGCCAGGGAGGCAUCCCCAACGUCCCUUGGGUGCUGGGGACGUGUCCCCAAGGUCCCCUGGUUGUCCCCACAGAUCCCUGGGUGGUGUUGAGGUGUCCCUGUGGUCCCCAGGGUGGUGUUGAGGUGUCCCCAGGGUCCCCUGGGUGCUGUUGAGGUGUCCCCAAGGUCCCCAGGGUGCCAGGAGGGUGUCCCCAAGGUCCCUUGGGUGUCAGGGAGGUGUCCCUAAUGUCCCUUGGGUGCUGAGGACGUGUCCCCAGGGUGCUGAGGACGUGUCCCCAAGGUCCCCAGGGUGCUGUUGAGGCGUCCCCAAUGUCCCCAGGGUGC